rnacentral:tRNA from 1 species
GGUUGUAGCUCAGUGGUAGAGCGCUUGCCUCGCAUGUGUGAGGCCCUGGGUUCAAUCCUCAGUACCA